rnacentral:rRNA from 1 species
AUGGCCGACCCGCAAUUUAUCCUCGGCACCUCCAUCUCCGAGAUGCUCACCGGCAUGGAGCUAGACGGCGAGGACCCUCAGAAGCUGGACCUCGGCACAAACUAUCUGCUUUACUUCGUGUACGACUACCUCCCGCACCCGCCGGUCUCCCCCACCGCCACCCUCUUGCCCUCCGGCUUGCCGUUGCUCCCCGACGGCGUAGACCGCAUCAGCCGCCUCCCCAAUGCGGUCCUCCGCGAAAUCGUCUCCCGCCUCCCCGCCAAGGACGCCGCGCGCACCGCCGCCCUCUCCUCGCGCUGGCGCCCCCUCUGGCGCGCGGCGCCCCUCUCCCUUGUCGACAGCCAUCUGCUUCCGGACGGCGGCGCGGCCGGGAAGUUUCCCAUCGGCGUCCCCUCUCCCCGUGCCGUCACCGCCGCGGUGUCCCGCGUUCACGCGGCGCAUCCGGGGCCCUUCCGCUGCGUCCACCUCACCCGCAGCACCAUGGAGGAGCACCGGGGCGAGAUGUCGCGCUGGCUCGACAUCCUCGUCGCCAAGGGGGUCCAAGAACUCGUCUUUGCCACGAUCUUCGGCUGCGCCUCUAUCUCGGCAAGCCCCGUUCUGAAGUUCCUCGUCCUCAUGGGGAGCCAGACCGGAGUGCGCCUCCGCCUUGUCAGCCAUAGCCUGCGGUGCGUUCAGCUGGGAUUCACCAUGUUGGAGGACAUCGACGUGGUGGAUGCCCCUCGCCUGGAGAGGCUCUUUCAGUGGCAAAUUGUCUCUCCGGGACAGGCUGGGGCCAAGGAGAGCAUUGCCCCUAGUGUCCAGAUUCUGGCCAUAGAAGUGCAGUUCGGCCUCCGCAAUGCUGUCAAGAAAGUGCCUGGCUUUCUCAGAUGCUUCCCUAACCUGGAGACGCUCCAUGUCUAUUCCCGCCGCAUAUCUGAAGAGUCCACUGGCAAGGUCAAUCUAAAGUUCUGGCAGGACGCUGGUCCCAUGAAAUGCGUGGUGCAGAGCAUGAAGAAGGUGUUCUUCUACGAGUUCCAAGGGUCGAGAAGCGAGGUCGCUUUCCUCAAGUUCAUCGCGGAGAGAGGUCGGGUGCUGGAGCAGAUGGUUGUUGUGGUGGCCAGCAAAUGUUUCUCCUCUGGCGAGGAUAAUGUGAGGGCCAAGCUGAAGCCCCUAACGAGCGCGAAAUGGAGCAGCAAAGCUUGCAAAGUAGAGUUCUCCAAGAGCCCGCACACUGAACCUGGAAGUCCUAUUUACAGCAACAAGAUAGCUUCUGAUUUUGGGUUUGCUGACCCUUUUGACCUCCUCGAGUUUGUCAUGUCGACGUUCGCCGGUGUAUCCGUCCUCGACGGCGACAAGCCGUGCUCUUGCGUAACGUCGGGCGUCGGCGCCGGUGCUGGCGCGAGCAGCGUGUACCACCUGCUCGUGGUCAAGGGCUACUCUGGUAUCAAAAAGGAGCUGCCCAACGGCGAGAGCUGGUGCACUGAAUUGUUCAGGGUGGAAGGCCAUGAGUAUUCCAUCGAGUACUAUCCUAAUGGCGCAAACCCCAACUGUGCCGACUUCAUUUCGCUCGAUAUUACCCGCCUCUACGACGAAGAUGUCGAAGAGGGUGUGGAGGCCAAGUUCAGUUUCAGCCUCGUCGACGACGUCGAGAAGCAGAUGCCGACGUACAUUCGUGCGACUCGUAAAACCCGUGACUUCCGCAGAUGUGAUCCUUGUUGGGGUUGCGACAAGUUCAUGAGAAGAGAUGCCCUUGAGCGAUCGGCCAGUCUAAAGUCUGAUUGUUUCACCAUCCGGUGUGAUAUUGUGGUGUGCAAGGACAACACCCCAGACGCCACCGGCUCCGGCACCAGCACCGGCACCGAGGUUCUUCUGCCUGACAUACACCAACAUUUUAGCAACCUCCUUCAGAAUAAGGUGGGUGCUGAUGUGACAUUCGAGGUCGGCGGCGAGACGUUCGCUGCACACCGGUGUGUGCUCGCUGCCAGGUCCGAAGUGUUCAUGGUGCAGCUCUUUGGCACCGCUAUGCCCAGCGUCAUACAGAUCACAGAUAUGGAAGCAAAAGUGUUCAGGGCUUUGCUUUGCUUCAUCUACACAGACUCGUGUCCUGAGAUGGAGAAGAACAGCAUGGAGGAGGAUGAAAUGCCAGGAGUUGUGGAACAAGGACAAGUAGAGGAAGUACUGGAGAAUAAAACGUCAGAAGUUGUGGAACAAACACAAGAAGAGGCGGUAGAGGAUGAAAUUCUUCUGCAAUGGCUGCAGGAUUUGUUUGUGGCGGCAGACAGAUACAAUCUCCAGCGGCUCAAGUUCAUCUGUGAAAAGCAGUUGUGUGAGCAUGUAGGUGUGAGCUCGGUGGCGUCCACUCUUGCUCUAGCCGAGCAGCACCACUGCCAUGGAUUGAAGGCGGCGUGCUUGAAGUUUAUCCAAGUCCUAUCUCCCUCGCGUUUGCAGGCACUAAUGGCAACUGAUGGAUGGGGGCAUAUAGCAACGACAUACCCCUCUGUUUUGUACGAGCUCAUUGCCAUCCUUGCGUCAAACCAGCGGAAAUGA